CUACUUAAAAAUUCCGUAGUGGUAGCGGUGACUCCAAUCCUGAUAGACACGCGUAAUACUAAACGUAGGAUCGUGAAAUCCAAUGGCUCAGAUCGCUUCCGCAAUGCUCUGAUCCUGCCGAGUGCAGACGCGCACGCGUUCCCCUCUCUCCCGAGCGGUGCCUUUGAUCCUUCUUCCUCCUCGAUACCCUCCGUAUCAACAGCGGUCACCGAUCCAUCGUCCAGACGCCGCCGCCUUCAUCCUCCUUCCUCCCCAUCCCCCAUCCCCCAGCGCCCGCAUUCCACCUCCCCCUGCGGACGGCUUCUCCACCGCGCCGGCGCCGGAUCGGCGAGGCGGGAGCACGUGGCCGCGGGAAGAGCAGCAACCGGUCACCCCGCCGCCGCAGAACGAGGUCGCCUGGACGGCCGCCGCCGAGGCCUCCCGCUCCUCCAUCAUGUUCGGGUCAGCGGGCAGGCCGUGCUACAUGUUCUAUGCUUCACCGGCAAUGGCGGCCAAGCAGUUUUAGGUGCCAGUUUUGGUGUGAAGAACUAAAUUGAAACCGAACAAUGAUUUUCUAGAGUUGCGGUUAACUUCUAAUCAAGUUAGUUCUGCAAUGGAUAACAAUGGUGGCGGUUCAGCACCAACAUCGUCCAAAAGAUCAUGUCCUUUUGUGAAUAUAACUAAUGUGAUUAAUGCCAAGUUGACAAACAAGCGUG
rnacentral:lncRNA from 1 species